rfam:Oryza glumipatula chromosome 1, whole genome shotgun sequence.
AAAAAGACAAACCCUAGAUUUUCGUGUCCAACUUUGACUGUCCGUCUUAUAUGAAAUAUUUUUAUAAUUCGUAUUUUCAUUAUUCUUACAUGAUAAAAUAUGAUUAAUAUUUUAUUCGUGACUUGUAUUUUUAUUUUUUUUAAUAAUUUUUUUAAAUAAGACGGACGUUCAAAACGUUGGACACAGAAACCAGGGUUUGUCUUUUU